rnacentral:sRNA from 1 species
CAGUAAUAGCAACUCCGUAGCUCUGUGCAGUAAUUCAAAAGCAAUAUCAGUUUAUUUGAUCCCUCAACCCCUACUUUUUACAUAUACUAAAUAAAAGUUAGUAUGAUCAAUGUAUUUCUUCCGCCUAUAAGAAAAAGAAAGAAAAGAAUGAAUUUGACUAUACUUUACAGAAGGUAGAACCUCAGAAAUAAGAUAAUUUGAAUUGCUAUAAAAAAUCGAUAGCUAACUGUGAAAAAAGAUCAAGAAAGACAAAAGAAUCGGUGCAUGCAAAAAUGUGCAUAGGCAUGUAAACUUCUGUCCGAGACUUCAGUUCCUUAAAAAAUGAAGCUACUGUUAUGUACUACCAUGUAUGUUGAAUCAGCCUGCAACUCUGAAGUAACCUUCAUAUCGAUGACCUCUGACUUCAGCAAUGGAACCAAUGAGUGGAACCAAGCAUAAUCUUCUCAGCCAAAACGACAGAAAGGUACAACCAAAAGAAGCCGGCCGCUAGCUAGAAUCUUCCAAGAGUAUCUAAUCAUCAUGUGAAAAGCGUGACGACAUCUCUUCUGUAUCCCCUAACUAUCAGGAUCCUCGGGAUGUUCUCUACAAGCAGAUCCAUGUACUCCAUGUAGCAGUAUGCCAGGUGGUUCAGUGGUGGCGGUGGAAGGCUCACGAGCACCACGACUGCCAUCCUGGAGUGCCUAAGGAUAGUAGCGUUCAGCUUCAGCAUCGUGUAGAGGAACUUUUCAACCUUCUGUUCAUCAACCACGACCUGCUUGCCACCCUCCAUCAGGGGCCGGCGUUCGCGUUCCGCGGCUUCCUUCAGCUGAGAAAUGUAUGUUCUGAUUCUGCUCUGCGCGCUUCUGUACACCUCAGGGUCAUCCUUCUUCGAGCCACCGCUGCGAUCUGGGUCUGCUUCCCAUGACUUCACAGUCACAACGAUCACAUCAGCUUGCAUCCUAAGAUCGUACAAGAACUUUUUGACGUCUGCCUUUAGCUCCUCGGCCUCGGUAUCUUCUUCAGCUAUGCAGAAGACCUGAAUCUUGCAGCUCUCGAAGCUUUCUUUGGUGAGUAGGAGCUGAGACAGAAGGAGCAUCAAUCCUCCAUCCCUCACAAUCCAGUAUAGGUCGAUUGUCCCGUACUGUCGUUGGUACUCAUUAGGCCAUUCAUCUAGUCCUUUCACAAUGACGACAGCCUUGUUAGCAGUAAUGCAAUCGUUUAUGAUGCUGACAAAUGUUGAUGGUAUCUGUGUCAGAUUCUCACGACGCCAGAUUUCUGGGUACCGCAUCACAACAAUGUUUGGUUUCAAAUUCCCUAGGCCCAUUGUCUGAACAAUGCUGCGAAAACCGAUAGAUGUUGAGGGUGCUACGAUAAUCUCUGCAACGCCCUCACAGCGCCUAUAGUCAAUAUAAGCGCUCAGUUGGCGGCAUGCUGUCUUUGCAUCCUCAGCAGAUUCAUGAUAGUCGCCAUCAAUAAUUGAGACAAAUAUUGACAUACCACGGCCCUUUUUCUUCAUGCAGUUGGCAAAAUCCGCGAGUUUUGGAUGGCACGGGACAUCUUCUGGAAGUUUACCCCAAGGCCGACAAAAUAUGAGAGGAAUAGGGUACCAAUUCUUAGGAUGAACUUGAUUUGCUCCCAUUGAUCGAAGACUUCUUAGAGCCAGUUGAAAGUAUGCACUCUUAAAUCCGUCCCCCCAGUCCCCUGCCUUUCCUUUUAAGCUGACAUAGUAGUAUAUGAGGCUUGCAAGGGCAAGGGAGACCACAGUAAAAGUCCAAGAGAUCAUAAACAUGAUAACAAUACAAAGCAAUGCACCGAUGAGAGAAAGGCUCCAGUGGUGCAACUUCCAUCGGGGGCGCCAACUAGGAGCAUCAAGGAGGUCAAGCAGAAAGCAUGACAAGUUCACACCAGCAUAACACAGAAGGAAAAACAUGGUGAUAGUGGGUGUAAUUACAUCCAAGUUCCCAAUGAUGACACAGCUAAUACAGAUGAAGCUUGUAAACAGAGUUGCCACAUGAGGUUCAGACCCUUCAUAAGCCUUAAAAUAAUUAAGUACAGGAAGAAUGUCAUCAUUCGCUAUUGCUGCAAGUAACCUUGGAGCCCCUGUCAGACUCUGUAGCGCUGCACCUAAAGUGGAUAGAAUUAUACCAGCAUAAACUACUGCUGGAGAGGGCCAAGCAACUGCAGCACAUAGAAGCCUGUCAGUCAGAAGCCCCUCUCUUGUAGACAAUGCUCCGAACAGAAACACAGAUAGUAGAUACAUCAUAGUAGUUGAAAUGGUAGCAUGUAAUGUUCCAAUUGGUAUUGAACGUUGUGUGUCUUUCAGUGAAGCAGACCGAUUUGAACCAGCCAUGAUUCCUGUAACUGCUGGGAAGUAGAGACCUAACAAAGCAUUGAAGCAUUUGGCCUUGGUGCAAUAAAGACACCGAUGUAAAUGCACAGGAUUGAGAAGAGCACUGGUAUUAAGAAAGCAGGUGCAACUUUGUUGAUAAUUUUGACGCCACCAAAUACAAUAAAACAAAGCAAUAUGGUCACGAUGAUGCCGUAGACCUGGAGGUCAUGCAAGUUGGGUGUUGAGAUAGUUGUUGCAUUGCCUGCUGCGGUACCGUUUACGAACGUAUUGGUGACCACUGUUACACUCUCUGCUUUUUAAAAUCGCUUGAAAAAAUUCAGCAGAAGGAACAGCAUCCAAAAAGGUUUCGACAGCUCCCAGCACAUACAUAGCUCCGGCAACUGCAUUCCCAAGGAAGAAACACAAUCCAAUACUAACUCCAACUUCCGGACCAAGUGCCCUGCCAAUGAGAUAGUAAGGGCCACCACCCUUCAUCGCCCCAUUCGUCGCAAUUGCACUUAAUGAUAUCGUAGUUAAAAAUGUGCAUGAACCACAAAAUGCGACUAAAACAAGUGACUGCCAUACGCCUCCCAUACCAACGAUCCAAGUAAAGCGAAUAUAAUAGAUUAUUCCCAAGAUGUUCUGCAGGCAUGGCACGAAUACACCCAUCAUGGUAUCAAGUUUAGUUUCAGUUUCCUUGGGGUGUCCAAUGGCAAUCCCUGCAUUUUCUCCAUCCCUAGUACUAGCAGAUGCCUGAGCUUGUUCGCCUACCAUUCUCUUAAGUCCCAAAAUAUUGACCAGAGAGUCAAAACCAAACAGCUCAAGUUUUGAAUCGCCUUGAGAUCCAUUAGAGCUACGCCCAUUAGAAGAAGCCAUAUGCAUUCUUGCAUCAGUGCGUAGGUUAGUUCCAGGCUUGAUGUACCUGGGCCCUGCGGAGGCGGAGGCAUCGGCGGAAGAUCCGAACUCCAUGGGCGCCAUCUGGACGACGGCGCGGUCGUGCGACUCCACCGUGCGGUACCGCUGCUGCGGCGCCGGCCUCAUCGCCGGGGCCUCCUCGUCAUGGCGGCCGGCCCCGCCGAAUCCCCCUCUCUCCAUAUCUCCC